GGGGGAAAAUUAAUAAAAUAUAAAUAAUAAAAAAAUUUUUAAUAUUGGGGGGUAUUAAAGUAUUUUUUUAAGAAAAAAUGAAUUAUUUUAUAGUUGAAUAGUAUUGAAAAAGAAAUUUGAAAUAAUUGAAAAUAAAUUAAUAAAAAAGUAAUUUUAAUUUAAUGUAUCUUGUGUAUCAGAGUUUAUUAAAAAAUAUUUUUUAUAAAAAAAAAUCUCGAAUUUAAAAGAGUUAAUUAAUUAAAAAAGUUAAUGUAGAAAAAUUAUUUUAAAUAAUUAAUUUGAAAUGAAAUGUUAAUCGUUUUUAAAUAUAUCUAGUUAUUUUAGAAAAAAAUUUAAUUUAAAAUUUAAAAAAUUUUAUUUUUAAUUAUAAUUAAUAAUAAAAUAUUUAAAAUUAAAUAUAUUAAGGGAUAAGCUUUAAUAUAAAAAUUUAUAAUGAUAAAAAAUAAAAUUUAAAAUUUUUAAAAUUUAUAUUGUUUAAAAAUUAUAAUUUAUUAUAAAAAAUUUUAUUUAUAAUAAAAUUUAAUAAAAAAAAUUUAAUUUUAUAUAAAAUAAUAAUUUGAAAUAAAAUAAUAUUAGAAAUAAUGAUAAAAUUAGUAUAUUAGAAAAAAAAAAUAUGGUUUAAUUAAUAAAAAUUAAAUUAAAGGAAUUCGGCAAAAAUUUAUAUUCACUUGUUUAUCAAAAACAUGUCUUUUAGAAAAUAAUUUAAAGUCUAAUCUGCCCACUGAUAAAUAUAUUAAAGGGCUGCAGUAUAUUGACUGUACAAAGGUAGCAUAAUCAAUAGUCUUUUAAUUGAAGACUUGUAUGAAAGAUUUGAUGAAAUAUAAACUGUCUCUAAUUUAUAUAUAAAAUUUAAUUUUUUAGUUAAAAAGCUAAAAUAAAUUUAAAAGACGAGAAGACCCUAUAGAGUUUUAUAUUAAAUUUAUUUAAGAUUAAAUAUAUAAUUAAAAAUUAAAAGUAAAAAUAAUAUUUUGUUGGGGUGAUAGAAAAAUUAAAUUAACUUUUUUUUUUGAUUUAACAUAAAUAAGUGAAUAAAUGAUCCAUUAUUAAUGAUUAAAAGAAAAAAUUACCUUAGGGAUAACAGCGUAAUAUUUUUUUCUAGUACAAAUAGAAAAAAAAGUUUGCGACCUCGAUGUUGGAUUAAGAUAAAAUUUAAAUGCAAAAGUUUAAAAUUUUGAUCUGUUCGAUCAUUAAAAUCUUACAUGAUCUGAGUUCAAACCGGUGUGAGCCAGGUUGGUUUCUAUCUUUAAAUUAAUAAAAUAUUUUAGUACGAAAGGAUCAAAUAUUUUUAAUAAUUAAAGUUUAAUGAAUAUUAAUAAUUUAAUUAAUUA
rnacentral:rRNA from 1 species